rnacentral:rRNA from 1 species
GGGUGAGUAACACGUAUCCAACCUACCGAUAACUCGGGGAUAGCCUUUCGAAAGAAAGAUUAAUACUCGAUAGUAUAGUUUCACCGCAUGAUGAGACUAUUAAAGAAUUUUGGUUAUCGAUGGGGAUGCGUUCCAUUAGGCAGUUGGUGAGGUAACGGCUCACCAAACCUUCGAUGGAUAGGGGUUCUGAGAGGAAGGUCCCCCACAUUGGAACUGAGACACGGUCCAAACUCCUACGGGAGGCAGCAGUGAGGAAUAUUGGUCAAUGGGCGCAGGCCUGAACCAGCCAAGUAGCGUGAAGGAUGAAGGCUCUAUGGGUCGUAAACUUCUUUUAUAUGGGAAUAAAGUUGAGUAUGUAUACUUUUUUGUAUGUACCAUAUGAAUAAGGAUCGGCUAACUCCGUGCCAGCAGCCGCGGUAAUACGGAGGAUCCGAGCGUUAUCCGGAUUUAUUGGGUUUAAAGGGAGCGUAGGUGGAUUGUUAAGUCAGUUGUGAAAGUUUGCGGCUCAACCGUAAAAUUGCAGUUGAAACUGGCAGUCUUGAGUACAGUAGAGGUGGGCGGAAUUCGUGGUGUAGCGGUGAAAUGCGUAGAUAUCUGGAGGAAUACCGAUGGCGAAGGCAGCCAUCUGG